UACGUAGGGUGCGAGCGUUGUCCGGAAUUAUUGGGCGUAAAGAGCUCGUAGGCGGUUUGUCGCGUCUGCUGUGAAAACCCGAGGCUCAACCUCGGGCCUGCAGUGGGUACGGGCAGACUAGAGUGCGGUAGGGGAGAUUGGAAUUCCUGGUGUAGCGGUGGAAUGCGCAGAUAUCAGGAGGAACACCAAUGGCGAAGGCAGAUCUCUGGGCCGUAACUGACGCUGAGGAGCGAAAGCAUGGGGGAGCGAACAGG
rnacentral:rRNA from 1 species